rnacentral:rRNA from 1 species
CCUACGGGAGGCAGCAGUGAGGAAUAUUGGUCAAUGGGCGUAAGCCUGAACCAGCCAAGUAGCGUGCAGGAUGACGGCCCUACGGGUUGUAAACUGCUUUUACGGGGGGAUAAACGGCGGGACUUGUCCUGCCCUGCAGGUACCCCGUGAAUAAGGACCGGCUAAUUCCGUGCCAGCAGCCGCGGUAAUA